GAAUUUUAUAUAAAUUUAUUUAAAUACUUAAUAUAUAAAUUAAAUUAGUAUAAUCUCUGUAUUUUAUUUAGAAUAAAAACUUAUAUUUAAUUGGGAGGAUUAUUAAAUUAAAUAAACUUUAAAUUAAAAUUAUUACAUUAAUAAAUGAAGUAAAAAUUAUUAAAAGAAUGAUUAAUAAAUUAAUAAAGAAAUAAUUACCUUAGGGAUAACAGCGUAAUAUUUUUGGAUAGAUCAUAUAAAUAAAAAUGAUUGC
rnacentral:rRNA from 1 species